GACAGAGGGUGCAAACGUUGUUCGGAAUUACUGGGCGUAAAGCGUGUGCAGGCGCCUAACAAGUGGUGUAUGAAAUAUCCACUCAACCUGGAGGGGUUAUGCCAGGACUGUUAGGCUAGAGUGCGAGAGAGGGGCGUGGAAUUCCGGGUGUAGUGGUGAAAUGCGUAGAGAUCCGGAGGAACCCAGAGGCGAAGGCGGCGCCUGGCUCGCCACUGACGCUCAGACAC
rnacentral:rRNA from 1 species